UACAGAGGGUGCAAGCGUUAUCCGGAUUCACUGGGUUUAAAGGGUGCGUAGGUGGGCAAGUAAGUCAGUGGUGAAAUCUCCGGGCUUAACCCGGAAACUGCCAUUGAUACUAUUUGUCUUGAAUACUGUGGAGGUCAGCGGAAUAUGUCAUGUAGCGGUGAAAUGCUUAGAUAUGACAUAGAACACCAAUUGCGAAGGCAGCUGGCUACACGAAUAUUGACACUGAUGCACGAAAGCGUGGGGAUCAAACAGG
rnacentral:rRNA from 1 species